rnacentral:rRNA from 1 species
CAGCCGCCGCGGUAAUACGGAGGGCGCGAGCGUUACCCGGAUUUACUGGGCGUAAAGGGCGUGUAGGCGGCCUGGGGCGUCCCAUGUGAAAGGCCACGGCUCAACCGUGGAGGAGCGUGGGAUACGCUCAGGCUAGAGGGUGGGAGAGGGUGGUGGAAUUCCCGGAGUAGCGGUGAAAUGCGCAGAUACCGGGAGGAACGCCGAUGGCGAAGGCAGCCACCUGGUCCACUUCUGACGCUGAGGCGCGAAAGCGUGGGGAGCAAACCGGAUUAGAUACCCCCGUAGUCCCUGUCUCUUUACC